CGGAGGGGCCGCAGGAGAGGCUGCCGAGGUCCCCCUUUCCUCUGGGGCUGCAGCAGCCCCAGGGGUCCCGGCUGCUCACCCCUGCACGCCCGGGCUGUAUUUCCUGGUCUUCCAGGGUGUGCCGGGGCUCUGCAGUGCUGGCUGAGGCGGCUGCCGCUGCUGGUGGGGGGAGUUGUUGAUGGCGACGCCCCGGCUGCCGGAGAGCAGGUAAUUCAUCCCAUAGGUGCUGGCUUUAUUCUCUCGUUUCCUACGGCCCGGGUGGUACUGGUGCUGCUGGGGAGACGCCGGCGGCGGCGGGUGGGGGCUGCGCGCCAGGUGCGGGGGCUGGUGGUGCCCGUUCACACCGUUCACUUUGUUCUCGUGGAAGUUAAAAAACUCCCCGGGUCCGGCCCCGCUGCCCAGCAGCCCGGGAGGAGCCACCGCCGCCGCCCGGGGGCCGCAGGAGGAAGAGGAGGAGCCGCCGCCUCCGCCGCCGCUGCACGAUCCCGAGGAGGAGAAGCCGGGGCUCUCGGUGCCGGACUCCACCGACGAGCAGGAGGACGAGGAAGACACGGAGGGCGACUUCUGCAGCCGCCGCGCUCCCUCGCCGCCGCCGUUCACCGCCGCGGGGCCGGCGGCGGCGGCGGGAACCAGUCCGGUCAGCAGGGCCGGCGGGGAAGGCGAAGGCGAAGGCGGCGAGGACGAGGAGCAGCAGGCGCCGCCGCCGGGCGCCCCGAGCCGCACGCAGCCGUGGCCGCGGGGCGGGGAGGCGGCGGCGGCGGAGUCCAGCGCCGGGGAGUUAAGGCAGAGGUAGUGCGGGAAGCUGGCGCCGCCCCGGCCCCCCACGCCCUGCGAGGUCUCCCAGAUCUGCAUCCACAGCGCAUUCGCGGGGCCUUUCUGCUCGGGCUGGAUCCAGGCCACGCGGGGAUCCAUCCACGCCCGCCCGGCUCCGACCCUCACGGCCCGGCCAGAGCGCCGCGCCGCCGCCCGCUCGCCGCGCACUCCCUCGCCUCAGCGCGCCGGGCCCGGCAGCGGCGCUAG
rnacentral:lncRNA from 1 species